AUACGGAGGAUCCAAGCGUUAUCCGGAUUUAUUGGGUUUAAAGGGUGCGUAGGCGGCAUUAUAAGUCAGAGGUGAAAGGCCACCGCUUAACGGUGGGACUGCCUUUGAUACUGUAGAGCUUGAAUAAGGUUGAGGUUAGCGGAAUGAGUCAUGUAGCGGUGAAAUGCAUAGAUAUGACUUAGAACACCAAUUGCGAAGGCAGCUGGCUAGACCUUUAUUGACGCUGAGGCACGAAAGCGUGGGGAGCGAACAGGAGUAGAAACCCCAGUAGUCC
rnacentral:rRNA from 1 species